rnacentral:snoRNA from 1 species
CAUCUCCAGCAUUGUACCUGCCAGGUUUACGAUUCUUGUUAGUUAUUAAGUGUGGAGAGAGAGAGAGUGCAGCAGAGGAGAUGCCCAUUCCACCUCUAGCUUUUCCUGUAGCUGGCAGGUGGAAGGUAAUCUGCAACAAGU